rnacentral:rRNA from 1 species
CGCCUGUUUAACAAAAACAUGUGUUUUUGAAUUAUUUAAAAAGUCUAACCUACCCACUGAAUUAUUUUAAAUGGCCGCAGUAUCCUAACUGUGCAAAGGUAGCAUAAUCAUUAGUCUUUUAAUUGAAGGCUGGUAUGAAUGAUUGGACGAGAUAUUAACUGUUUCAUAAAAAUUUAUAAUACAAUUUUAUUUUUUAGUCAAAAAGCUAAAAUAAAUUUAAAAGACGAGAAGACCCUAUAAAUCUUUAUAUUUAGAUAAUUACAAUUUUGUGGAUUUUUUUUGUUGUGAUUGUUGAUAAUUUUUUAUUGGGGUGAUAUUAAAAUUUAAAAAACUUUUAAUUAAUUAAUUCAUUAAUUUAUGAAUAAUUGAUCCGUUAUUAACGAUUAAAAAUUUAAGUUACUUUAGGGAUAACAGCGUAAUUUUUUUGGUGAGUUCAUAUCGAUAAAAAAGAUUGGGACCUCGAUGUUGGAUUAAGAGAUAUAUUUUGGUGUAGUCGCUAAAAUGUUAAGUCUGUUCGACUUUUAAAUUCUUACGUGAUCUGAGUUCAGACCGG